rnacentral:rRNA from 1 species
GAUGAACGCUGGCGGCGUGCUUAACACAUGCCAGUCGAACGGAAAGGCUCCUGCUUGCCGGGGUACUCGAGUGGCGAACGGGUGAGUAACACGUGGGUGAUCUGCCCUGCACUUCGGGAUAAGCCUGGGAAACUGGGUCUCAUACCGGAUAGGACCUCAUUUUGGAUGGUGUGGUGGAAAGUUGUGCGGUGUGGGAUGAGCUCGCGGCCUAUCCGCUUGUUGGUGGGGUAAUGGCAUACCAAGGCGCCGACGGAUAGCUGGCCUGGGAGGGUGUACGGGCACAAUGGGACUGAGAUAGGGCCCAGACGCCUACGGGAGGCAGCAGUGGAGAGUAUUACGCAAUGGGCGCAAGCGUGAUGCAGCGACGCCGGGUGGGGGAUGACGGCCUUCGGGUUGUAAACUCCUGUCGCUAGGGACGAAGCGCAAGUGACGGUACCUGGAGAAGAAGCACCGGCUAACUACGUG